rnacentral:piRNA from 1 species
AGCCACCGUAAGGGGGCGGAUCGGA